UACGUAGGGUGCGAGCGUUGCCCGGAUUUACUGGGCGUAAAGGGCGCGUAGGCGGCGUGACAAGUCACUUGUGAAAUCUCCGGGCUUAACUCGGAACGGCCAAGUGAUACUGUCGCGCUAGAGUGCGGAAGGGGCAAUCGGAAUUCUCGGUGUAGCGGUGAAAUGCGUAGAUAUCGAGAGGAACACCUGCGGCGAAGGCGGGUUGCUGGGCUGACACUGACGCUGAGGCGCGAAAGCCAGGGGAGCAAACGGG
rnacentral:rRNA from 1 species